GAACGAGAAAGUGGAGCAAUCCAUGAGUAAAGUGGCGACCGGGUGAGUAACACGUGACUAACCUGCCCUAGAGUGGGGGAUAACCUCGGGAAACCGGGGCUAAUACCGCAUAACAUCGUGAGGGGAAGCUCCUUGCGAUCAAAGGAGCAAUUCGCUCAAGGAGGGGGUCGCGGCUGAUUAGCUAGUUGGUGAGGUAACGGCUCACCAAGGCGAAGAUCAGUAGCCGGCCUGAGAGGGCGCACGGCCACACUGGAACUGAAACACGGUCCAGACUCCUACGGGAGGCAGCAGUGGGGAAUUUUGCGCAAUGGGGGAAACCCUGACGCAGCAACGCCGCGUGGAGGAUGAAGUCCCUUGGGACGUAAACUCCUUUCGACCGGGACGAUAAUGACGGUACCGGUGGAAGAAGCCCCGGCUAACUUCGUG
rnacentral:rRNA from 1 species